rnacentral:rRNA from 1 species
UACGUAGGGGGCGAGCGUUGUCCGGAAUUAUUGGGCGUAAAGAGCGUGUAGGCGGUUCGGUAAGUCUGUCGUGAAAUCCUGGGGCUCAACCCCGGGCGUGCGAUGGAUACUGCCGGGCUAGAGGGUGGUAGAGGCGAGUGGAAUUCCCGGUGUAGCGGUGAAAUGCGCAGAUAUCGGGAGGAACACCAGUAGCGAAGGCAGCUCGCUGGGCCACACCUGACGCUGAGACGCGAAAGCUAGGGGAGCGAACAGG